rnacentral:rRNA from 1 species
CAGUCGCCGCGGGAAUACAGAGGGUGCGAGCGUUAAUCGGAUUUACUGGGCGUAAAGCGUGCGUAGGCGGCUUCUUAAGUCGGAUGUGAAAUCCCUGAGCUUAACUUAGGAAUUGCAUUCGAUACUGGGAAGCUAGAGUAUGGGAGAGGAUGGUAGAAUUCCAGGUGUAGCGGUGAAAUGCGUAUAGAUCUGGAGGAAUACCGAUGGCGAAGGCAGCCAUCUGGCCUAAUACUGACGCUGAGGUACGAAAGCAUGGGGAGCAAACAGGAUUAGAUACCCCGGUAGUCCCUGUCUCUUAUAC